GACGAACGCUGGCGGCGUGCUUAACACAUGCAAGUCGAACGGAAAGGCCCUGCUUUUGUGGGGUGCUCGAGUGGCGAACGGGUGAGUAACACGUGAGUAACCUGCCCUUGACUUUGGGAUAACUUCAGGAAACUGGGGCUAAUACCGGAUAUGAGCUCCUGCUGCAUGGUGGGGGUUGGAAAGUUUCGGCGGUUGGGGAUGGACUCGCGGCUUAUCAGCUUGUUGGUGGGGUAGUGGCUUACCAAGGCUUUGACGGGUAGCCGGCCUGAGAGGGUGACCGGCCACAUUGGCACUGAGAUACGGCCCAGACACCUACGGGAGGCAGCAGUGGGAAAUAUUGCACAAUGGGCGGAAGCCUGAUGCAGCAACGCCGCGUGCGGGAUGACGGCCUUCGGGUUGUAAACCGCUUUCGCCUGUGACGAAGCGUGAGUGACGGUAAUGGGUAAAGAAGCACCGGCUAACUACGUG
rnacentral:rRNA from 1 species